GUGUGUGUAAGGGUGCUGUAUGUGUAAGGGUGCUGUUAGUGUGUGCUGUGUGUGUGUAUGUGUGAGGGUGCUGUGUGUGUAAGGGUGUUGUUAGUGUGAGGGUGCUGUUAGUGUGUGUGUGUGCUGUGUGUGUAAGGGUGAUGUAUGUGUGUGUGCUGUAUGUUUGUGUGUAAUGUGUGGGGGCCGUUUAGUUAAUAUCCCC